AUUGAACGCUGGCGGCAUGCCUUACACAUGCAAGUCGAACGGUAACAGGUCUUCGGAUGCUGACGAGUGGCGAACGGGUGAGUAAUACAUCGGAACGUGCCUAGUAGUGGGGGAUAACUACUCGAAAGAGUGGCUAAUACCGCAUGAGAUCUACGGAUGAAAGCAGGGGAUCGCAAGACCUUGCGCUAAUAGAGCGGCCGAUGGCAGAUUAGGUAGUUGGUGGGAUAAAAGCUUACCAAGCCGACGAUCUGUAGCUGGUCUGAGAGGACGAUCAGCCACACUGGGACUGAGACACGGCCCAGACUCCUACGGGAGGCAGCAGUGGGGAAUUUUGGACAAUGGGCGCAAGCCUGAUCCAGCAAUGCCGCGUGCAGGAUGAAGGCCUUCGGGUUGUAAACUGCUUUUGUACGGAACGAAAAGCCCUGGGUUAAUACCCUGGGGUCAUGACGGUACCGUAAGAAUAAGCACCGGCUAACUACGUCCCAGCAGCCGCCGUAAUAC
rnacentral:rRNA from 1 species